rnacentral:rRNA from 1 species
AGAGUUUGAUCCUGGCUCAGAAUCAACGCUGGCGGCGUGCCUAACACAUGCAAGUCGCACGAGAAAGGGACUUCGGUCCUGAGUACAGUGGCGCACGGGUGAGUAACACGUGAAUCAUCUACCUUCGAGUGGGGAAUAACUGAGAGAAAUCUUAGCUAAUACCGCAUAAUACCUACGGGUCAAAGCAGCAAUGCGCUUGAAGAGGAGUUCGCGGCAGAUUAGUUAGUUGGCGGGGUAAUGGCCCACCAAGACGAUGAUCUGUAUCCGGCCUGAGAGGGCGCACGGACACACUGGAACUGAAACACGGUCCAGACUCCUACGGGAGGCAGCAGUGGGGAAUUUUGCGCAAUGGGGGGAAACCCUGACGCAGCAACGCCGCGUGGAGGAUGAAAUCCCUUGGGAUGUAAACUCCUUUCGAUAGGGAAGAUAAUGACGGUACCUAUAGAAGAAGCCCCGGCUAACUUCGUGCCAGCAGCCGCGGUAAUACGAGGGGGGCAAGCGUUGUUCGGAAUUAUUGGGCGUAAAGGGUGCGUAGGCGGUUUGACAAGUCUUAUGUGAAAUCUAUGGGCUCAACCCAUAGUCUGCAUGGGAAACUGUCGGGCUUGAGUAUGGGAGAGGUGAGUGGAAUUUCCGGUGUAGCGGUGAAAUGCGUAGAUAUCGGAAGGAACACCUGUGGCGAAAGCGGCUCACUGGACCAUAACUGACGCUGAUGCACGAAAGCUAGGGGAGCAAACAGGAUUAGAUACCCUAGUAGUCC